rnacentral:rRNA from 1 species
UGCGCNCCUUNCAUGCAAGUCGAACGGCAGCACGGGAGCAAUCCUGGUGGCGAGUGGCGAANGGNGNGAGUAAUAUAUCGGAACAUGCCCAGUCGUGGGGGAUAACGCAGCGAAAGCUGUGCUAAUACCGCAUACGAUCCAUGGAUGAAAGCGGGGGACUCGCAAGGGCCUCGCGCGAUUGGAGUGGCCGAUAUCAGAUUAGCUAGUUGGUGGGGUAAAAGCUCACCAAGGCGACGAUCUGUAGCUGGUCUGAGAGGACGACCAGCCACACUGGAACUGAGACACGGUCCAGACUCCUACGGGAGGCAGCAGUGGGGAAUUUUGGACAAUGGGCGCAAGCCUGAUCCAGCAAUGCCGCGUGCAGGAUGAAGGCCUUCGGGUUGUAAACUGCUUUUGUACGGAGCGAAACGGCUCUCUCUAAUACAGGGGGCUAAUGACGGUACCGUAAGAAUAAGCACCGGCUAACUACGUGCCAGCAGCCGCGGUAAUACGUAGGGUGCGAGCGUUAAUCGGAAUUACUGGGCGUAAAGCGUGCGCAGGCGGUUUUGUAAGACAAAUGUGAAAACCCCGGGCUCAACCUGGGAACUGCAUAUGUGACUGCAAGGCUAGAGUACGGCAGAGGGGGAUGGAAUUCCGCGUG